UACGGAGGGGGCUAGCGUUGUUCGGAAUUACUGGGCGUAAAGCGCACGUAGGCGGCUUUGUAAGUUAGAGGUGAAAGCCCGGGGCUCAACUCCGGAACUGCCUUUAAGACUGCAUCGCUUGAAUCCAGGAGAGGUGAGUGGAAUUCCGAGUGUAGAGGUGAAAUUCGUAGAUAUUCGGAAGAACACCAGUGGCGAAGGCGGCUCACUGGACUGGUAUUGACGCUGAGGUGCGAAAGCGUGGGGAGCAAACAGG
rnacentral:rRNA from 1 species